AUGAACGCUGGCGGCGUGGAUAAGGCAUGCAAGUCAAACGGGCUCUGUAGCAAUACAGAGUACAGUGGCGAACGAGUUAGUAAUACCUUGGAACGUACUCCGAAGACGGGGAUAAUCCACCGAAAGGUGGACUAAUACCCGAUAGUCCCGCAAGGGUAAAGACGCAAGUUACUUCGGAAGCGGCCUAGGUCCUAUCAGUUAGUUGGCGGGGUAAUGGCCCACCAAGACUAUGACGGGUAGGGGGUGUGAGAGCACGGCCCCCAACGAUGACACUGCGAUACGGGUCAUACACCUACGGGUGGCUGCAGUCGAGAAUAUUCGACAAUGGGCGAAAGCCUGAUCGAGCGACGCCGCGUGCAGGAAGAAGCUCUUCGGGGCGUAAACUGCUUUUGCCAUGGAAAAAUUUUGAUUGUACAUGGAGAAUAAGGGGUUGCUAACCUCGUGCCAGCAGCAGCGGUAAUACGAGGACCCCAAGCGUUAUCCGGAGUUACUGGGCGUAAAGCGCAAGUAGUCGGUUUUGUUAGUCAAAUGUUAAAUGCCGAGGCUUAACUUCGGCACCGCAUUUGAAACGGCAAGACUAGAGUGGGUUAGAGGCAAGCGGAACGUGCGGUGUAGGGGUGAAAUCCAUUGAUAUCGCACGGAACACCAAAAGCGAAGGCAGCUUGCUGGAGCUCUACUGACGAUCAGUUGCGAAAGUGUGGGCAUAAAAAAGGACUAGAUACCCUUGUAUUCCACACCCUAAACUAUGCAGACUAGCCAUUGGGAGCAUCGACCCUUCCGGUGGCGAAGCCAACGCGUUAAGUCUGCCGCCUGGGAAGUACGAUCGCAAGAUUAAAACUCAAAGAAAUAGGCGGGAAUUUGCACAAGCAGUGGAUCAUGUGGUUCAAUUCGACUCUAAGCGAGGAACCUCACCAGGGCUUGAAAUCCAGAUGCAAGCCUCCAGAAACGGAGGCCCCCUUCGAGGGUUCUGGACAGGUGCUGCACGGCUGUCGUCAGCUCGUCAUGUGAAUGGUAUCCUUAAGUGGAUUAACGAGCGCAACCCUUAUUGUCUGUUAUACGUGUCAGACGAGACUGCCUUCGUAAGAAGGAGGAAGGUGAGGAUGACGUCAAGUCAGCGUGGCCCUCUGAUGCCCUGGGCUACACACAUGAUACAAUGGACGUUACAAUGGGUUGCCAAACCGCGAGGUGGAGCUAAUCCCAUCAAAGGCGUCCUCAGUUCGGAUUGGAGGCUGAAACUUGCCUCCAUGAAGCCGGAAUUGCUAGUAAUCGCUGAUCAGAACGCAGCGGUGAAUACGUUCUCAAAUUUUGCACUCACUGCCCGUCAUUGCAGGGGAGCCGGUAAUACCUGAAGAUCCAUUUUACAGUGGGGACACGGUAGGAUCGGUGACAAAGCAA
rnacentral:rRNA from 1 species